GAGGGUAUAGUUCAGUGGUAGUGUGUGUGCUUAGCAUGCAUGAGGCCCUGGGUUCAAUUCUUAGUACCUCCA
rnacentral:tRNA from 1 species